CCUUCGGGACUGAUUAUUUUGUGACUGAGUGGCGGACGGGUGAGUAACGCGUGGGUAACCUGCCUUGUACAGGGGGAUAACAGUUGGAAACGGCUGCUAAUACCGCAUAAGCGCACAGCAUCGCAUGAUGCAGUGUGAAAAACUCCGGUGGUAUAAGAUGGACCCGCGUUGGAUUAGCUAGUUGGUGAGGUAACGGCCCACCAAGGCGACGAUCCAUAGCCGACCUGAGAGGGUGACCGGCCACAUUGGGACUGAGACACGGCCCAAACUCCUACGGGAGGCAGCAGUGGGGAAUAUUGCACAAUGGGCGAAAGCCUGAUGCAGCGACGCCGCGUGAGCGAAGAAGUAUUUCGGUAUGUAAAGCUCUAUCAGCAGGGAAGAUAAUGACGGUACCUGACUAAGAAGCACCGGCUAAAUACGUGCCAGCAGCCGCGGUAAUACGUAUGGUGCAAGCGUUAUCCGGAUUUACUGGGUGUAAAGGGAGCGCAGGCGGUGCGGCAAGUCUGAUGUGAAAGCCCGGGGCUCAACCCCGGUACUGCAUUGGAAACUGUCGUACUAGAGUGUCGGAGGGGUAAGCGGAAUUCCUAGUGUAGCGGUGAAAUGCGUAGAUAUUAGGAGGAACACCAGUGGCGAAGGCGGCUUACUGGACGAUAAC
rnacentral:rRNA from 1 species